rnacentral:rRNA from 1 species
GACGAACCGUGCGAACGUUGUUCGGAAUCACUGGGCAUAAAGGGCGCGUAGGCGGCUUAUCAAGUCAGGGGUGAAAUCCGGCAGCUCAACUGUCGAAGUGCCUUUGAUACUGAUGAGCUAGAGGGAGAUAGGGGUAUGCGGAACUUCCGGUGGAGCGGUGAAAUGCGUUGAUAUCGGAAGGAACGCCGGUGGCGAAAGCGGCGUACUGGAUCUCUUCUGACGCUGAGGCGCGAAAGCUAGGGAGCAAACGGG